rnacentral:rRNA from 1 species
AAUGGACGAAUGUCUGAUGGAGCAACGCCGCGUGAGUGAAGAAGGAUUUCGGUUCGUAAAACUCUGUUGCAAGGGAAGAACAAGUAGCGUAGUAACUGGCGCUACCUUGACGGUACCUUGUUAGAAAGCCACGGCUAACUACGUGCCAGCAGCCGCGGUAAUACGUAGGUGGCAAGCGUUGUCCGGAAUUAUUGGGCGUAAAGCGCGCGCAGGUGGUUCCUUAAGUCUGAUGUGAAAGCCCCCGGCUCAACCGGGGAGGGUCAUUGGAAACUGGGGAACUUGAGUGCAGAAGAGGAUAGUGGAAUUCCAAGUGUAGCGGUGAAAUGCGUAGAGAUUUGGAGGAACACCAGUGGCGAAGGCGACUGUCUGGUCUGUAACUGACACUGAGGCGCGAAAGCGUGGGGAGCAAACAGGAUUAGAUACCCUGGUAGUCCACGCCGUAAACGAUGAGUGCUAAGUGUUGGGGGGUUUCCGCCCCUCAGUGCUGCAGCUAACGCAUUAAGCACUCCGCCUGGGGAGU